rnacentral:rRNA from 1 species
CUACGGGAGGCUCCAGUGAGGAAUAUUGCGCAAUGGGGGGAACCCUGAUGCAGCAACGCCGCGUGGAGGAUGACGCAUUUCGGUGUGUAAACUCCUUUUAUAUGUCAAGAAAAUGACGGUAGCAUAUGAAUAAGCACCGGCUAACUCCGUGCCAGCAGCCGCGGUAAUACGGAGGGUGCAAGCGUUACUCGGAAUCACUGGGCGUAAAGGACGCGUAGGCGGGUUGGAAAGUCAGGUGUGAAAUCCUACAGCUUAACUGUAGAACUGCACUUGAAACUUCUAAUCUAGAGUAUGGGAGGGGAGAAGCAUUUAGUGUGGGAGGGGUAAAAUCCGUAGAUAUCACUAGGAAUACCUAAAGCGAAGGCGAUCUCCUGGAACAUUACUGACGCUAAGGCGUGAAAGCGUGGGGAGCAAACAGAAUUAGAUACCCUAGUAGUC